rnacentral:rRNA from 1 species
GCCACCCUUUAAAGAAAGCGUAAUAGCUCACUGGUCGAGUCGUCUCGCGCGGAAGAUGUAACGGGGCUAAGCAUAUAACCGAAGCUGCGGAUGCAUAUUUAUAUGCAUGGUAGGAGAGCGUUCUGUAAGUCUGUGAAGGUGUUCUGUGAGGAAUGCUGGAGAUAUCAGAAGUGCGAAUGCUGACAUGAGUAGCGAUAAAGGGAGUGAAAGGCUCCCUCGCCGAAAGCCCAAGGUUUCCUGCGCAACGUUCAUCGGCGCAGGGUGAGUCGGCCCCUAAGGUGAGGCAGAAAUGCGUAGCCGAUGGGAAACAGGUUAAUAUUCCUGUACCUCAAUUUAAUGCGAUGUGGGGACGGAGAAGGUUAGGUCAGCCAGGUGUUGGAUAUCCUGGUUCAAGCAUGUAGAUAGAUUCCUUAGGUAAAUCCGGGGAGUUAAUAUCAAGAUGUGUUAACGAGUGAACUUUUGUUCAUGAAGUGAUUGACACCACGCUUCCAAGAAAAGCCACUAAGCUUCAGUUAGAUUGAGACCGUACCGCAAACCGACACAGGUGGGCAGGAUGAGAAUUCUAAGGCGCUUGAGAGAACUCUGGAGAAGGAACUCGGCAAAUUUGUACCGUAACUUCGGGAUAAGGUACGCCCCAGUAGGUUGUAGCAUUUUACAUGCGAAGGCCGAUGGGGUUGCAGUGAAAUGGUGGCUGCGACUGUUUAUUAAAAACACAGCACUGUGCAAACACGAAAGUGGACGUAUACGGUGUGACUCCUGCCCGGUGCCGGAAGGUUAAUUGAUGGGGUGCAAGCUCUUGAUAGAAGCCCCGGUAAACGGCGGCCGUAACUAUAACGGUCCUAAGGUAGCGAAAUUCCUUGUCGGGUAAGUUCCGACCUGCACGAAUGGAGUAACGAUGGCCACACUGUCUCCUCUAGAGACUCAGCGAAGUUGAAAUGGUUGUGAAGAUGCAAUCUACCCGCGGUUAGACGGAAAGACCCCAUGAACCUUUACUAUAGCUUUACAUUGGACUUUGAUAACAUCUGUGUAGGAUAGGUGGGAGACUUUGAAGCAGGAUCGCUAGAUCUUGUGGAGUCACCCUUGAAAUACCACCCUGAUGUUGUUGAGGUUCUAACCCAGGUCCCUUAUCGGGAUCGGGGACCGUGUAUGGUGGGUAGUUUGACUGGGGCGGUCUCCUCCCAAAGAGUAACGGAGGAGUGCGAAGGUAACCUAGGCACGGUCGGAAAUCGUGCUGUUAGUGCAAUGGCAUAAGGUUGCUUGACUGCGAGACGGACAUGUCAAGCAGGUACGAAAGUAGGUCAUAGUGAUCCGGUGGUUCUGUAUGG